CAAACUUAACAGAGCCACAAACCGCAACCAAGUCAGGGGGUCAAGGCGGCAGACCACCCUUUGAUGGGUCUAAAAACAACCUAUUUUCUCUGAAUCUAAACAAUGAUGAAAGGAAAAAGCACAUAACAGUUGAGAAAUAGCUAGAUCCUGCGACGAUGGAGGACCACGGAGAACCUCUAGUUGUAUGUACGACCCCAUUAGGUGGGGUUUGAAGGUGGUGCCAUCGGGAAGGACAUGACACGAUCG
rnacentral:lncRNA from 1 species